rnacentral:rRNA from 1 species
UUCGGUUGAUCCUGCCGGACUGACUGCUAUCGUGAUUGGUACUAAGCCAUGCGAGUCGUUGUAGCAAUACAAGGCGGACUGCUCAGUAACACGUAGUUAACUUAACCUAUGGAUGGGAAUAACCUCGGGAAACUGAGAAUAAUACCCAAUGGGCCACAGUGCCUGGAAUGGCCUGUGGUUGAAAUGAUUUAUCGCCGUAGGAUAGGACUGCGGCCUAUCAGCUUGUUGGUGAGGUAAUGGCCCACCAAGGCUAUAACAGGUACGGGCUCUGAGAGGAGGGGCCCGGAGAUGGGUACUGAGACACGGACCCAGGCCCUAUGGGGCGCAGCAGGCGAGAAACCUUUGCAAUGUGCGAAAGCACGACAAGGUUAAUCCGAGUGUCUCCUGCUAAAGGAGUCUUUUGUCAGUUGUAGAAUCACUGGUGAAUAAGGGGUGGGCAAGUUCUGGUGUCAGCCGCCGCGGUAAAACCAGCACCUCGAGUGGUCAGGAGGUUUAUUGGGCCUAAAGCAUCCGUAGCCGGUUGCAUAAGUUUUCGGUUAAAUCUAUGCGCUUAACGUAUAGGCCGCCGAAAAUACUGUGCCGCUAAGGAGUGGGACGAGGUACACGGUACUUCGAUUAGGACGGGUUAAAUCCUUGGAUCUUGGAAACCCCCUGUUGCGAAGCGGUGUCCAGAACCGUUCGCGGUGAGGAUGAAGUGGGGGGCAACGGUUUGUCCGGUGCCCGUGUACGUGGGUCGUUGCUGGUUUGCCAUGUGCCAGGAACGUAAUUGGCUGGAUAUCCCGUUACUACGGUUGGGGGGCC